CGAGUGAAGCGGCAACAGCUCAAAUUUGAAAUCUGGCUCCCUUGGGGCCCGAGUUGUAAUUUGUAGAGGGUGCUUUGGCGUGGGCGCUGGCCUAAGUUCCUUGGAACAGGACGUCACAGAGGGUGAGAAUCCCGUACGUGGCCGGCCGCCUUAGCCGUGUAAAGCCCCUUCGACGAGUCGAGUUGUUUGGGAAUGCAGCUCUAAAUGGGAGGUAAAUUCCUUCUAAAGCUAAAUAUUGGCCAGAGACCGAUAGCGCACAAGUAGAGUGAUCGAAAGAUGAAAAGCACUUUGGAAAGAGAGUCAAAAAGCACGUGAAAUUGUUGAAAGGGAAGCGCUUGCAGCCAGACUUGCCUGUAGUUGCUCACCCGGGCUCUUGCCCGGUGCACUCUUCUGCGGGCAGGCCAGCAUCAGUUUGGGCGGCCGGAUAAAGGCCCCGGGAACGUAGCUCUCUUCGGGGAGUGUUAUAGCCCGGGGUGUCAUGCGGCCAGUCCGGACUGAGGUCCGCGCAUCUGCUAGGAUGCUGGCGUAAUGGCUGUAAGCGGCCCGUCUUGAAACACGGACCAAGGAGUCUAACAUCUAUGCGAGUGUUUGGGUGUCAAGCCCGGGCGCGCAAUGAAAGUGAACGGAGGUGGGAACCCCCCCGGGGUGCACCAUCGACCGAUCCUGAUGUCUUCGGAUGGAUUUGAGUAAGAGCAUAGCUGUUGGGACCCGAAAGAUGGUGAACUAUGCCUGAAUAGGGUGAAGCCAGAGGAAACUCUGGUGGAGGCUCGCAGCGGUUCUGACGUGCAAAUCGAUCGUCAAAUUUGGGCAUAGGGGCGAAAGACUAAUCGAACUAUCUAGUAGCUGGUUCCUGCCGAAGUUUCCCUCAGGAUAGCAGUAACGUUUUCAGUUUUAUGAGGUAAAGCGAAUGAUUAGAGGCCUGGGGGUUGAAACAACCUUCACCUAUUCUCAAACUUUAAAUAUGUAAGAAGUCCUUGUUACUUAAUUGAACGUGGACAUUUGAAUGUACCGUUACUAGUGGGCCAUUUUUGGUAAGCAGAACUGGCGAUGCGGGAUGAACCGAACGCGGGGUUAAGGUGCCAGAAUGCACGCUCAUCAGACACCACAAAAGGUGUUAGUUCAUCUAGACAGCAGGACGGUGGCCAUGGAAGUCGGAAUCCGCUAAGGAGUGUGUAACAACUCACCUGCCGAAUGAACUAGCCCUGAAAAUGGAUGGCGCUCAAGCGUGCUACCCAUACCCCGCCGCCAGGGCAGGAUUUAUGCCCUGGCGAGUAGGCAGGCGU
rnacentral:rRNA from 1 species